GCCUAGGUGGCUCAGGGGUAGAGCACAUCCUUGGUAAGGAUGAGGUCGCGGGUUCAAUUCCCGCCCUAGGCUCCA
rnacentral:tRNA from 2 species